CCUACGGGAGGCAGCAGUGGGGAAUAUUGCGCAAUGGGCGAAAGCCUGACGCAGCGACGCCGCGUGAGGGAUGAAGGUCUUCGGAUCGUAAACCUCUGUCAGCAGGGAAGAACGGUCACUGUGCUAAUCAGCAGUGACUUGACGGUAACUGCAAAGGAAGCACCGGCUAACUCCGUGCCAGCAGCCGCGGUAAUACGGAGGUGGCGAGCGUUAACCGGAAUUACUGGGCGUAAAGCGAGCGUAGGCGGUAUGUCAAGUCAAGGGUGAAAGCCCCGGGCUCAACGUGGGAAGGGCCUUUGAAACUGGCGAACUGGAGUGUGGAAGAGGAUAGUGGAAUUCCAGGUGUAGGAGUGAAAUGCGUAGAUAUCUGGAGGAACAUCAGUGGCGAAGGCGACUAUCUGGCACAUAACUGACGCUGAGGAGCGAAAGCGUGGGUAGCAAACAGGAUUAGAUACCCUUGUAGUC
rnacentral:rRNA from 1 species